rnacentral:rRNA from 1 species
AACAAACGCUGGCGGCGUGCCUAAUACAUGCAAGUCGAACGGGGAAAGCUUUCGGGUGAGUACUAGUGGCGCACGGGUGAGGAACGCGUGGAUAAUCUGCCUUAGAGUGGGGGAUAACUAGUCGAAAGAUUAGCUAAUACCGCAUAAGACCACAGGAACCGAGGUUCUAGAGGUCAAAGGUUUUUCGCUCUAAGAUGAGUCCGCGUAAGAUUAGCUAGUUGGUGAGGUAACGGCUCACCAAGGCGACGACCUUUAACUGGUCUGAGAGGAUGAUCAGUCACACUGGAACUGAGACACGGUCCAGACUCCUACGGGAGGCAGCAGUAGGGAAUAUUGCACAAUGGAGGAAACUCUGAUGCAGCGACGCCGCGUGAGUGAUGAAGGCCUUCGGGUCGUAAAGCUCUGUCGCAGGGGAAUAACACAAUGAAGGUACCCUGUAAGAAGGGAUCGGCUAACUUCGUGCCAGCCGCCGCCGUAA